rnacentral:rRNA from 1 species
AACGCGAAGAACCUUACCGGGGCUUGACAUCCUGCGCUAUCUUAGGAGACUAAGUUUCCCAGCAAUGGGACGCAGAGACAGGUGCUGCAUGGCUGUCGUCAGCUCGUGCCGUGAGGUGUUGGGUUAAGUCCCGCAACGAGCGCAACCCUUGCCGUGUGUUGGUCCAAAAGAUCUCUCACGCGGGACCGCCGGUGACAAGCCGGAGGAAGGUGGGGAUGACGUCAAGUCAGCAUGGCCCUUACGUCCCGGGCUACACACGUGCUACAAUGGAACGGACAACGAGCUGCAAACCCGCGAGGGUAAGCUAAUCUCAUAAACCGUUUCUCAGUUCGGAUUGGAGGCUGCAACUCGCCUCCAUGAAGUCGGAAUCGCUAGUAACCGCAGAUCAGCUACGCUGCGGUGAAUACGUUCCCGGGCCUUGUACACACCGUAGAGAC